rnacentral:rRNA from 1 species
UACGUAGGAUCCGAGCGUUGUCCGGAUUUAUUGGGUUUAAAGGGUGCGUAGGCGGAAGAAUAAGUCAGUGGUGAAAGCCGGUCGCUCAACGAUCGAAUUGCCAUUGAUACUGUUUUUCUAGAAUACGGUUGAGGUAGGCGGAAUGUGUGGUGUAGCGGUGAAAUGCAUAGAUAUCACACAGAACUCCGAUUGCGAAGGCAGCUUACUAAGCCGUUAUUGACGCUGAGGCACGAAAGCGUGGGGAUCAAACAGG